GACGAACGCUGGCGGCGUGCUUAACACAUGCAAGUCGAACGGAAAGGCCCUGCUUUUGUGGGGUGCUCGAGUGGCGAACGGGUGAUUAACACGUGAGUAACCUGCCCUUGACUUUGGGAUAACUUCAGGAAACUGGGGCUAAUACCGGAUAGUAGCUCCUGCUGCAUGGUGGGGGUUGGAAAGUUUCGGCGGUUGGGGCUGGACUCGCGGCUUAUCAGCUUGUUGGUGGGGUAGUGGCUUACCAAGGCUUUGACGGGUAGCCGGCCUGAGAGGGUGACAGGCCACAUUGGGACUGAGAUACGGCCCAGACUCCUACGGGAGGCAGCAGUGGGGAAUAUUGCAAAAUGGGCGGAAGCCUGAUGCAGCAACGCCGCGUGCGGGAUGACGGCCUUCGGGUUGUAAACCGCUUUCGCCUGUGACGAAGCGUGAGUGACGGUAAUGGGUAAAGAAGCACCGGCUAACUACGUG
rnacentral:rRNA from 1 species